UGCCAGCCGCCGCGGUAACACGGGGGGCGCAAGCGUUAUCCGGAAUCACUGGGCGUAAAGGGAGCGUAGGCGGUUUUGCAAGUCAGAAGUGAAAGGCUACGGCUCAACCGUAGUAAGCUUUUGAAACUGCAAGACUAGAGUGCAGGAGAGGCAAGUGGAAUUCCGAGUGUAGGGGUGAAAUCCGUAGAUAUUCGGAGGAACACCAGUGGCGAAGGCGGCUUUCUGGACCGAUACUGACGCUGAGACGCGAAAGCGUGGGGAGCAAACAGGAUUAGAUA
rnacentral:rRNA from 1 species